rnacentral:rRNA from 1 species
CCUACGGGAGGCAGCAGUGAGGAAUAUUGGUCAAUGGGCGGGAGCCUGAACCAGCCAAGUCGCGUGAGGGACGAUGGUCCUAUGGAUUGUAAACCUCUUUUGUCGGGGAACAAAGUCGCCCACGGGUGGGCGGCUGAGUGUACCCGAAGAAAAAGCAUCGGCUAACUCCGUGCCAGAAGCCGCGGUAAUGCGGAGGAUGCGAGCGUUAUCCGGAUUUAUUGGGUUUAAAGGGUGCUUAGGCGGACAGUCAAGUCAGCGGUAAAAAUGCGGUGUCCAAGGCCGUACAGCCGUUGAAACUGGCAGGCUGGAGUGGGCGUGAAGUAGGCGGAAUGCGUGGUGUAGCGGUGAAAUGCAUAGAUAUCACGCAGAACUCCGAUUGCGAAGGCAGCAUACCGGCGCCCGACUGACGCUGAGGCACGAAAGCGUGGGUAUCGAACAGGAUUAGAUACCCGUGUAGUC